rnacentral:lncRNA from 1 species
AAAUUCCAGAUUCCAAAUCUUCCUAGAUGUUAAAUAUCGAGCCUUCCAAUCUCUAAGAAAUAUAUUUCAGUUAUUUAGAAGCUACCCAGUUUAAAGCACUUUGUUAUAGAUGCCUGAACAGAAAGAACUCAAGACCAUAUGCAUCUAUUUGAUCAGCUAUGUGAUCUUGUAGGUAAAUGGCUGGUGAUGCCAUCUCUGUUUGCAUUUUUAUGAGUUGAUGGUGACAAAGUGGCCUGAGAUAGCUGAAUGAAGCUUUUAUGGACAAGCAGAAUGCCAUUCAUAGUAAAGACAACAGUCAAGGUGGAAUAAAAAAAGGAAGCCAAAGAAAGAAGCUAGCAGUGGAUGGACUGGGGUGUUCAGGUCCCCCAGUCUCCACCUUCACAUGCUGGUAUUUUUUAACAUGAGAAAUAUAAGAGUUGGUCUUCCCGUGACAAUAAACUCAACUAACAUGGACCUGUUGGGAGUCCCAGUGACCAAACCACCAACCAAAGAGCAAGCGUGGACUGAACCUGCCCCUCUUCCUCAUAUAUAUGGAGCAUAUGUGCAGCUAGGUCUUCAUGUGAGUCCCCAACAACUGGAAACGAGCUGUUCCUGAAUUUCUUGCCUGCCUGUGGAUCCUGUUCCCCUAACUGGGCCACUUAUGGUAAUUGUCUGGCCUCAGUGAGAGAAGAGGCACCCAGUUUGGCAGUGACUGAUGUGAGAUGAUGUGUGAUAUCCAAGAGGUCCCCCUUCUUAGGGAAGAAGGGGAGGGUGUGUGAGAGAAACUGUGAGAGGGGGCCACUGAGAGAAGAAGAGGGUUAAUAAUGUGAUGCAAAGUGAGUAAAUAAAUUAAUUCCUU